rnacentral:rRNA from 1 species
UACGUAGGGUGCGAGCGUUGUCCGGAAUUACUGGGCGUAAAGAGCUCGUAGGUGGUUUGUCGCGUUGUCCGUGAAAACUCACAACUCAAUUGUGGGCGUGCGGGCGAUACGGGCAGACUGGAGUACUGCAGGGGAGACUGGAAUUCCUGGUGUAGCGGUGGUAUGCGCAGAUAUCAGGAGGAACACCGGUGGCGAAGGCGGGUCUCUGGGCAUUACCUGACGCUGAGGAGCGAAAGUGUGGGGAGCGAACAGG